CCUACGGGAGGCAGCAGUGAGGAAUAUUGGUCAAUGGGCGGAAGCCUGAACCAGCCAAGCCGCGUGCAGGAUGACGGCCCUAUGGGUUGUAAACCGCUUUUAUAGGGGAACAAAGCCCGUUACGUGUCCCGCUUUGCAUGUACCGUAUGAAUAAGCAUCGGCUAACUCCGUGCCAGCAGCCGCGGUAAUACGGAGGGUCCGGGCGUUAUCCGGAUUUAUUGGGUUUAAAGGGUGCGUAGGCGGCUCGUUAAGUCUGCGGUGAAAUUUCCGGGCUCAACCCGGGCCGUGCAGUGGAAACUGGCAGACUUGAGUCGGCGAGAAGCAGGCGGAAUGCGUGGUGUAGCGGUGAAAUGCAUAGAUAUGGCGAAGAACCCCGAUUGCGAAGGCAGCGUACUGGAGCCAGACUGACGCUGAGGCUCGAAAGCGCGGGGAUCGAACAGGAUUAGAUACCCUAGUAGUC
rnacentral:rRNA from 1 species